CCUACGGGCCGCAGCAGUGGGGAAUAUUGGACAAUGGGCGGAAGCCUGAUCCAGCAACGCCGCGUGAGGGAUGACGGCCUUCGGGUUGUAAACCUCUUUCAGUAUCGACGAAGCGCCCGUGUGGGUGGUGACGGUAGGUACAGAAGAAGCACCGGCCAACUACGUGCCAGCAGCCGCGGUAAUACGUAGGGUGCGGGCGUUGUCCGGAAUUAUUGGGCGUAAAGGGCUCGUAGGCGGUUUGUCGCGUCGGGAGUGAAAACACUGGGCUUAACCGAGUGCUUGCUUCCGAUACGGGCAGACUUGAGGCAUUGAGGGGAGAACGGAAUUCCUGGUGUAGCGGUGAAAUGCGCAGAUAUCAGGAGGAACACCGGUGGCGAAGGCGGUUCUCUGGCAAUGUUCUGACGCUGAGGAGCGAAAGUGUGGGGAGCGAACAGGAUUAGAUACCCCUGUAGUC
rnacentral:rRNA from 1 species